UAUUGGGCGUAAAGCGCGCGCAGGCGGUUCCUUAAGUCUGAUGUGAAAGCCCACGGCUCAACCGUGGAGGGUCAUUGGAAACUGGGGAACUUGAGUACAGAAGAGGAGAGCGGAAUUCCACGUGUAGCGGUGAAAUGCGUAGAUAUGUGGAGGAACACCAGUGGCGAAGGCGGCUCUCUGGUCUGUUACUGACGCUGAGGUGCGAAAGCGUGGGGAGCGAACAGGAUUAGAUACCCUGGUAGUCCACGCCGUAAACGAUGAGUGCUAGGUGUUAGGGGUUUCCACCCUUAGUGCUGCAGUUAACGCAAUAAGCACUCCGCCUGGGGAGUACGGCCGCAAGGCUGAAACUCAAAGGAAUUGACGGGGGCCCGCACAAGCGGUGGAGCAUGUGGUUUAAUUCGAAGCAACGCGAAGAACCUUACCAGGUCUUGACAUCUUUGGACCACCCUAGAGAUAGGGUCUUCCCUUCGGGGACCAAAUGACAGGUGGUGCAUGGUUGUCGUCAGCUCGUGUCGUGAGAUGUUGGGUUAAGUCCCGCAACGAGCGCAACCCUUAAUCUUAGUUGCCAGCAUUCAGUUGGGCACUCUAAGGUGACUGCCGGUGACAAACCGGAGGAAGGUGGGGAUGACGUCAAAUCAUCAUGCCCCUUAUGACCUGGGCAACACACGUGCUACAAUGGAUGGUACAAUGGGACGCGAAACCGCGAGGUGAAGCAAAUCCCAAAAAGCCAUUCUCAGUUCGGAUUGUAGGCUGCAACUCGCCUGCAUGAAGCCGGAAUCGCUAGUAAUCGUGGAUCAGCAUGCCACGGUGAAUACG
rnacentral:rRNA from 1 species